rnacentral:rRNA from 1 species
ACGGAAUAGAUACCCAGGUAGUCCACGCCCUAAACGAUGUCUACUAGUUGUCGGGGAUUCAUUUCCUUGGUAAACGCAGCUAAACGCGUGAAGUAGACCGCCUGGGGAGUACGGCCGCAAGGUUAAAACUCAAAGGAAUUGACGGGGACCCGCACAAGCGGUGGAUGAUGUGGAUUAAUUCGAUGCAACGCGAAAAACCUUACCUACGCUUGACAUGCCAGGAACUUUCCAGAGAUGGAUUGGUGCCCGAAAGGGAACCUGGACACAGGUGCUGCAUGGCUGUCGUCAGCUCGUGUCGUGAGAUGUUGGGUUAAGUCCCGCAACGAGCGCAACCCUUAUCCUUAGUUGCUACGCAAGGGCACUCUAGGGAGACUGCCGGUGACAAACCGGAGAAGUGGGGAUGACGUCAAGUCCUCAUGGCCCUUAUGUGUAGGGCUUCACACGUCAUACAAUGGUCGGUACAGAGGGUCGCCAACCCGCAGGGGGAGCCAAUCCCAGAAAACCGAUCGUAGUCCGGAUUGCAGUCUGCAACUCGACUGC